rnacentral:rRNA from 1 species
CCUACGGGAGGCUGCAGUGGGGAAUAUUGGACAAUGGGGGCAACCCUGAUCCAGCCAUGCCGCGUGUGUGAAGAAGGCCCUCGGGUUGUAAAGCACUUUCAGUGAGGAAGAACGCCUGGUGGUUAAUACCCAUCAGGAAAGACAUCACUCACAGAAGAAGCACCGGCUAACUCCGUGCCAGCAGCCGCGGUAAUACGGAGGGUGCGAGCGUUAAUCGGAAUUACUGGGCGUAAAGCGCGCGUAGGUGGCUUGAUAAGCCGGUUGUGAAAGCCCCGGGCUCAACCUGGGAACGGCAUCCGGAACUGUCAAGCUAGAGUGCAGGAGAGGAAGGUAGAAUUCCCGGUGUAGCGGUGAAAUGCGUAGAGAUCGGGAGGAAUAACAGUGGCGAAGGCGGCCUUCUGGACUGACACUGACACUGAGGUGCGAAAGCGUGGGUAGCAAACAGGAUUAGAUACCCGGGUAGUC